GUUGAAGAGCCGUUUGGAUGUGCUGCUCGGAGAUAUGAUUUAGCGGAGGGUUGUUAGAGUUAGGGGACUAUGGUUAGGCUGCGCUUGGACCUGAUGAUCUCUGAGGUCCUUUCCAACCUGAGUAAUUCUAUGAUUGUAUGAUUCUUUCUCCAUAACAGAGGUGCUGCAGCCUCUGAGCGAAGCAGCUGGAGAAAACCGUUUCCUCUUCUCAUUUGGGGUCGAUGUAGGGCAUGCAAGAGGCAAAUCAUAGAAUCAUAGAAUCGCUAAGGUUGGAAAAGACCCACAGGAUCACCCAGUCCAACCAUCCGUCCUUCACCAAUGGUUCUCACCAAACCAUGUCCCUCAACACAGCAUCCAAAUGCUCUUUGAACACCACCAGGGUGGGUGACUCCACCACCUCUCUGGGCAGCCCAUUGCAGUGCCUGACCACCCUUUCAGAGCAGUAGUAUUUCCUAACGUCCAGCCUGAACCUUCCCUGGCGCAGCUUGAAGCCAUUCCCUCUCGUCCUAUCACUGUCACACGAGAGAAGAGGCCGACCCGCAGCUCACUACAACCUCCCUUCAGGCAGUUACAGAGAGCAAUAAGGCUUCCCCUGAGCCUCCUCUUCUCCAGACUGAACAAUCCCAGCUCCUUCAGCCGCUCUUCAUAAG
ensembl:lncRNA